rnacentral:tRNA from 1 species
GGUUGUAGCUUAGUGGUUGUGUACUUGUCUAGCACGCCUGAGGUACUGGGUUCGAUCCUCAGCACCA